CAGGUUGAAGGUGCGGUAAAACGCACUGGAGGACCGAACCAGGGCACGUUGAAAAGUGCUUGGAUGACUUGUGGGUAGCGGAGAAAUUCCAAACGAACUUGGAGAUAGCUGGUUCUCUCCGAAAUAGCUUUAGGGCUAGCGUCGAUGUUAAGUCUCUUGGAGGUAGAGCACUGUUUGGGUGAGGGGUCCAUCCCGGAUUACCAAUCUCAGAUAAACUCCGAAUGCCAAUGAGAUAUAAUCGGCAGUCAGACUGCGAGUGCUAAGAUCCGUAGUCGAAAGGGAAACAGCCCAGACCACCAGCUAAGGUCCCAAAAUAUAUGUUAAGUGGAAAAGGAUGUGGGGUUGCACAGACAACUAGGAUGUUAGCUUAGAAGCAGCUAUUCAUUCAAAGAGUGCGUAAUAGCUCACUAGUCGAGUGACCCUGCGCCGAAAAUGUACCGGGGCUAAAACAUAUUACCGAAGCUGUGGAUACCUUUAUAGGUAUGGUAGGAGAGCGUUCUAUGUGCGAAGAAGGUGUACCGUGAGGAGUGCUGGAGCGCAUAGAAGUGAGAAUGCCGGUAUGAGUAGCGAAAGACAGGUGAGAAUCCUGUCCACCGUAAGACUAAGGUUUCCAGGGGAAGGCUCGUCCGCCCUGGGUUAGUCGGGACCUAAGGAGAGACCGAAAGGUGUAUCCGAUGGACAACAGGUUGAUAUUCCUGUACUAGAGUAUGUAGUGAUGGAGGGACGCAGUAGGCUAACUAAAGCAGACGAUUGGAAGUGUCUGUCUAAGCAGUGAGGUGUGAAUUGAGUUAAAUGCUUAAUUCUAUAACAUUGAGCUGUGAUGGGGAGCGAAGUUUAGUAGCGAAGUUAGUGACGUCACACUGCCAAGAAAAGCUUCUAGCGUUUAAACAUACUCUACCCGUACCGCAAACCGACACAGGUAGUCGAGGCGAGUAGCCUCAGGUGAGCGAGAGAACUCUCGUUAAGGAACUCGGCAAAAUGACCCCGUAACUUCGGGAGAAGGGGUGCUGGCUUUCAGUCAGCCGCAGUGAAUAGGCCCAAGCAACUGUUUAUCAAAAACACAGCUCUCUGCUAAAUCGUAAGAUGAUGUAUAGGGGGUGACGCCUGCCCGGUGCUGGAAGGUUAAGAGGAGUGCUUAGCGCAAGCGAAGGUAUGAAUUGAAGCCCCAGUAAACGGCGGCCGUAACUAUAACGGUCCUAAGGUAGCGAAAUUCCUUGUCGGGUAAGUUCCGACCCGCACGAAAGGCGUAAUGAUUUGGGCACUGUCUCAACGAGAGACUCGGUGAAAUUUUAGUACCUGUGAAGAUGCAGGUUACCCGCGACAGGACGGAAAGACCCCAUGGAGCUUUACUGCAGUUUGAUAUUGAGUGUCUGUGCCACAUGUACAGGAUAGGUAGGAGCCAUAGAGAUCGGGACGCCAGUUUCGAUGGAGGCGAUGUUGGGAUACUACCCUUGUGUUAUGGCCACUCUAACCCGGAUAGGUGAUCCCUAUCGGAGACAGUGUCUGACGGGCAGUUUGACUGGGGCGGUCGCCUCCUAAAAGGUAACGGAGGCGCCCAAAGGUUCCCUCAGAAUGGUUGGAAAUCAUUCGCAGAGUGUAAAGGUAUAAGGGAGCUUGACUGCGAGAGCUACAACUCGAGCAGGGACGAAAGUCGGGCUUAGUGAUCCGGUGGUUCCGCAUGGAAGGGCCAUCGCUCAACGGAUAAAAGCUACCCUGGGGAUAACAGGCUUAUC
rnacentral:rRNA from 1 species